CUCUAUCGGGACUCCACGCACGAUAGAUGUCAUCAAAUUUGGGCCCGUUCACUUGGGGAUGGUGCACUUAUCCUCACCAAGGGUGCCCUGAGCUUCGAAUCUAUGGGCUAUUUAAGACCACCCACUUAUAGCGACGUCUACAGAGGUGAUAAAAAGCAGAAAGAAUAGAAUAAAAAAACCGAGGAAACGGAGAGUUGGACGAUGGAGUUGAGGGCGGGAGGGAUGGAUGGAUGGCUGGGGAAGUUGGGGAGGCACGUUUAUGCGUUUCUUUGCUUAGGGGUCGUGCUCGUCGCUGCUACCUUCGUCCAUUACGCUUUUCCUGAGCAGCCGACGGGUGACGCGAGGGAGAGGUCCAGGAGAAGGGUGGCAGCCGUGCAGGCCGCUGAUUUCUGAUCCUUUUCUUUCUUUCCAUUUUGCCGAGUGUUGUAACAAUCUUCUAUCUAUAAGCAAAUACUGGUAGAGAGAGAGAAUUGCUAGAUCCCAAUCUCCAUAUUUUUUUUACUUCUAUUGAGCAGUAACGAUAUCCAAUUUAACGUAUCUAUUACCUUUAAGAACAUGCAAUUAAUAGGUUCGGCUCGAAGUAUUUGUUA